GGUUAAGCGACUAAGCGUACACGGUGGAUGCCCUGGCAGUCAGAGGCGAUGAAGGACGUGCUAAUCUGCGAUAAGCGUCGGUAAGGUGAUAUGAACCGUUAUAACCGGCGAUUUCCGAAUGGGGAAACCCAGUGUGAUUCGUCACACUAUCAUUAACUGAAUCCAUAGGUUAAUGAGGCGAACCGGGGAACUGAAACAUCUAAGUACCCCGAGGAAAAGAAAUCAACCGAGAUUCCCCAGUAGCGGCGAGCGAACGGGGAGCAGCCCAGAGCCUGAAUCAGUGUGUGUGUUAGUGGAAGCGUCUGGAAAGGCGUGCGAUACAGGGUGACAGCCCCGUACACAAAAAUGCACAUACUGUGAGCUCGAUGAGUAGGGCGGGACACGUGGUAUCCUGUCUGAAUAUGGGGGGACCAUCCUCCAAGGCUAAAUACUCCUGACUGACCGAUAGUGAACCAGUACCGUGAGGGAAAGGCGAAAAGAACCCCGGCGAGGGGAGUGAAAAAGAACCUGAAACCGUGUACGUACAAGCAGUGGGAGCACGCUUAGGCGUGUGACUGCGUACCUUUUGUAUAAUGGGUCAGCGACUUAUAUUCUGUAGCAAGGUUAACCGAAUAGGGGAGCCGAAGGGAAACCGAGUCUUAACUGGGCGUUAAGUUGCAGGGUAUAGACCCGAAACCCGGUGAUCUAGCCAUGGGCAGGUUGAAGGUUGGGUAACACUAACUGGAGGACCGAACCGACUAAUGUUGAAAAAUUAGCGGAUGACUUGUGGCUGGGGGUGAAAGGCCAAUCAAACCGGGAGAUAGCUGGUUCUCCCCGAAAGCUAUUUAGGUAGCGCCUCGUGAAUUCAUCUCCGGGGGUAGAGCACUGUUUCGGCAAGGGGGUCAUCCCGACUUACCAACCCGAUGCAAACUGCGAAUACCGGAGAAUGUUAUCACGGGAGACACACGGCGGGUGCUAACGUCCGUCGUGAAGAGGGAAACAACCCAGACCGCCAGCUAAGGUCCCAAAGUCAUGGUUAAGUGGGAAACGAUGUGGGAAGGCCCAGACAGCCAGGAUGUUGGCUUAGAAGCAGCCAUCAUUUAAAGAAAGCGUAAUAGCUCACUGGUCGAGUCGGCCUGCGCGGAAGAUGUAACGGGGCUAAACCAUGCACCGAAGCUGCGGCAGCGACGCUUAUGCGUUGUUGGGUAGGGGAGCGUUCUGUAAGCCUGUGAAGGUGUGCUGUGAGGUAUGCUGGAGGUAUCAGAAGUGCGAAUGCUGACAUAAGUAACGAUAAAGCGGGUGAAAAGCCCGCUCGCCGGAAGACCAAGGGUUCCUGUCCAACGUUAAUCGGGGCAGGGUGAGUCGACCCCUAAGGCGAGGCCGAAAGGCGUAGUCGAUGGGAAACAGGUUAAUAUUCCUGUACUUGGUGUUACUGCGAAGGGGGACGGAGAAGGCUAUGUUGGCCGGGCGACGGUUGUCCCGGUUUAAGCGUGUAGGCUGGUUUUCCAGGCAAAUCCGGAAAAUCAAGGCCGAGGCGUGAUGACGAGGCACUACGGUGCUGAAGCAACAAAUGCCCUGCUUCCAGGAAAAGCCUCUAAGCAUCAGGUAACAUCAAAUCGUACCCCAAACCGACACAGGUGGUCAGGUAGAGAAUACCAAGGCGCUUGAGAGAACUCGGGUGAAGGAACUAGGCAAAAUGGUGCCGUAACUUCGGGAGAAGGCACGCUGAUACGUAGGUGAAGCGACUUGCUCGUGGAGCUGAAAUCAGUCGAAGAUACCAGCUGGCUGCAACUGUUUAUUAAAAACACAGCACUGUGCAAACACGAAAGUGGACGUAUACGGUGUGACGCCUGCCCGGUGCCGGAAGGUUAAUUGAUGGGGUUAGCGCAAGCGAAGCUCUUGAUCGAAGCCCCGGUAAACGGCGGCCGUAACUAUAACGGUCCUAAGGUAGCGAAAUUCCUUGUCGGGUAAGUUCCGACCUGCACGAAUGGCGUAAUGAUGGCCAGGCUGUCUCCACCCGAGACUCAGUGAAAUUGAACUCGCUGUGAAGAUGCAGUGUACCCGCGGCAAGACGGAAAGACCCCGUGAACCUUUACUAUAGCUUGACACUGAACAUUGAGCCUUGAUGUGUAGGAUAGGUGGGAGGCUUUGAAGUGUGGACGCCAGUCUGCAUGGAGCCGACCUUGAAAUACCACCCUUUAAUGUUUGAUGUUCUAACGUGGACCCGUGAUCCGGGUUGCGGACAGUGUCUGGUGGGUAGUUUGACUGGGGCGGUCUCCUCCUAAAGAGUAACGGAGGAGCACGAAGGUUGGCUAAUCCUGGUCGGACAUCAGGAGGUUAGUGCAAUGGCAUAAGCCAGCUUGACUGCGAGCGUGACGGCGCGAGCAGGUGCGAAAGCAGGUCAUAGUGAUCCGGUGGUUCUGAAUGGAAGGGCCAUCGCUCAACGGAUAAAAGGUACUCCGGGGAUAACAGGCUGAUACCGCCCAAGAGUUCAUAUCGACGGCGGUGUUUGGCACCUCGAUGUCGGCUCAUCACAUCCUGGGGCUGAAGUAGGUCCCAAGGGUAUGGCUGUUCGCCAUUUAAAGUGGUACGCGAGCUGGGUUUAGAACGUCGUGAGACAGUUCGGUCCCUAUCUGCCGUGGGCGCUGGAGAACUGAGGGGGCUGCUCCUAGUACGAGAGGACCGGAGUGGACGCAUCACUGGUGUUCGGGUUGUCAUGCCAAUGGCACUGCCCGGUAGCUAAAUGCGGAAGAGAUAAGUGCUGAAAGCAUCUAAGCACGAAACUUGCCCCGAGAUGAGUUCUCCCUGACCCUUUAAGGGUCCUGAAGGAACGUUGAAGACGACGACGUUGAUAGGCCGGGUGUGUAAGCGCAGCGAUGCGUUGAGCUAACCGGUACUAAUGAACCGUGAGGCUUAACCUU
rnacentral:rRNA from 1 species